GAUGAACGCUGGCGGCGUGCCUAAUACAUGCAAGUCGAGCGAAUGGAUUAAGAGCUUGCUCUUAUGAAGUUAGCGGCGGACGGGUGAGUAACACGUGGGUAACCUGCCCAUAAGACUGGGAUAACUCCGGGAAACCGGGGCUAAUACCGGAUAACAUUUUGAACCGCAUGGUUCGAAAUUGAAAGGCGGCUUCGGCUGCCACUUAUGGAUGGACCCGCGUCGCAUUAGCUAGUUGGUGAGUUAACGGCUCACCAAGGCAACGAUGCGUAGCCGACCUGAGAGGGUGAUCGGCCACACUGGGACUGAGACACGGCCCAGAAUCCUACGGGAGGCAGCAGUAGGGAAUCUUCCGCAAUGGACGAAAGUCUGACGGAGCAACGCCGCGUGAGUGAUGAAGGCUUUCGGGUCGUAAAACUCUGUUGUUAGGGAAGAACAAGUGCUAGUUGAAUAAGCUGGCACCUUGACGGUACCUAACCAGAAAGCCACGGCUAACUACGUGCCAGCCGCCGCAGUAA
rnacentral:rRNA from 1 species